rnacentral:rRNA from 1 species
UGGGGAAUAUUGGACAAUGGGCGAAAGCCUGAUCCAGCCAUGCCGCGUGUGUGAAGAAGGUCUUCGGAUUGUAAAGCACUUUAAGUUGGGAGGAAGGGCAGUAAGCGAAUACCUUGCUGUUUUGACGUUACCGACAGAAUAAGCACCGGCUAACUCUGUGCCAGCAGCCGCGGUAAUACAGAGGGUGCAAGCGUUAAUCGGAAUUACUGGGCGUAAAGCGCGCGUAGGUGGUUCGUUAAGUUGAAUGUGAAAGCCCCGGGCUCAACCUAGGAACUGCAUCCAAAACUGGCGAGCUAGAGUAGGGGAGAGGGUGGUGGAAUGUACUGUGGAGCGGUGAAAUGCGUAGAUAUAGGAAGGAACACAAGUGGCGAAGGCGACCACCUGGGCUCAUACUGACACUGAGGUGCGAAAGCGUGGGGAGCAAACAGG